AAAUUGAAUAGAUUUUAUAUUAAAAAAAUGGUACAUUUUACAUAUAACAAAUUUGUAUAUUUAAGAAUGACUACAUUUUAAUAUUAAAAAGUUUUACAUGAAUGGGUACAUAUUGACACACCCCGUCCCGAAGGAGGGCAUGCUGGCCGUCACGUGAGAGUGACGUAACCAUUUGCACAGUACGGAAGCUUUAAGAUACAAUUUAUAAGUUGAUACACCCGAAGGGAGUCCUAAUUUUGUCCAAUCUGUCAGAACACCGUCGAAUUCCUCGUAGCCACCACACCUCAGCUAUUCUUUAACCUGGAGGGGCGCAAAACCAAAAUUGAGUGGGUCAGUAAAACAAUUCUUUUCAAAUCCAAUUUUUUCUCAAAGCAUUGUAACCCCUCUCCGUAAAACCUGUAUACUUUCCCAGAAAUGUAAAAUAUAAAUAUACAUAUAUAUUCUCAAAACUUCAUUUUUACUAUCUCAACAUUUUUCUUUAUCAAUCAUGCCAUGCCAUGUCUAAUUCAAUAGUUAAGUAUGGAUGCAUCAACAAUAAUCAUAUUAGGUACAAGAAAGUAAUCAACCGGAGGCCCUCUAAUAGCCCUGUACGGUUGAACCUAGAGCUCAAAAUCUAUCAUUCUCACACUCUGCCGGAGUCACUCCGCGUGACCUGUACGGCCUUCUGCACAUAAGUUACGCUCUAGUGCUUCUCAUAAUCAUCUGUGCACAUAAUCUAAGGUCACCCACCAGUCGGAAUCUCACUAACACUCUCGCGACUGGCCUGUCGUACCCACUCCGCGUGGACUGUACGACUAGCAUCUACUUGGAUCCAAGGCGAGCGUGCGAUGCGGUGAAUACUAUAAGCACUAAACUAUGGUGCAGGAUUUGAGCUCAAUAUACAUCAACAUCAUCAUAACAGAAAUAAAUACUCACAUGUGCGUCCACCGCACCAUUUCAUACAUAUGCAUCAUAAAUCAAUUCUUACCUGUGCGUCCACCGCACCAAUUCAUACAUAUGCAUCAUAAAUCAAUUCUUACCUGUGCGUCCACCGCACCAAUUCAUACAUAUGCAUCAUAUAUUAAUUCAUGCAUGGCAUUUCAACUCACAUUUCUAUAUACUUUUCAUAUCAAUUCUAUGCAUGGUAUUUCACUUCCCGUUUUUCCACAUAACUCAUAUGCAUUUCAUUUUAAACAUAUUUUCAUUUCAAUUCAAUUUCUGGGAAACGUCAAGUAUAUAUAUAUACGGAAAACAAAACUGCCCACUCACCUGGAGUUCGUCCAACAACUCCCUAGCACCACACAUCAAGGCGUCACGACGAUCGCCGCCUAGAAUAGUAAUCAAAUCCAACCUCAGAAUUCAUAUCGAUAGAAUAUAUAACUUAUAUAAAAUACGUCACUACGUAGUUCGAUCCGGAAGAUCUGCCACUCAGAUUUUUAAAUCCAUAACUUCCAGAGGUCCACAAUAUAUCUCUAGGACAACAUCCUAAAAUUUCAUCACCAUCCAACGGUCGGAUCUCCGUCAAUUUCCAAAACUAAGUGACGGUUAACAUUUUAUAUUAUGGACUUACAAUUCCAAUUCCGGAAGAUCCGUAACUCGGAUUCCCAAUCCGUAAGUUCCAAUAAUCCUCAAAUAUUACGUAUUACAACGUAUCAAAGUUUGGUAACGAUCCAACGGUCGGAUCGUCAAUUCACAUUUUUAUCUAAAUGUGAAAACUAUAAAACGUUAUUCGAACACCUAACCAACAAUCCUUAAUAACUUUCUCAUACGGUGCUCAAUUUGGGUAUAUGAAUAUACCACGGUGAUCUACUCGACGUCACGGACGUCGACAUAUUUUUAAAAUAAUUUUAUUUUUAUUUAUUUUUUUUACUGUAGCACCUUCUUCUUCCUUGGGUCGCCAGACUGGUUUUUCCGGCGGCCGUUUUCCGGGCAGUUUUUCAAAUUACCAUAACUUUGUCAUUUCUCAACGAAAUCAAGUGAUUCAAAAACGAGAGUUGUAGCCCUUGAAGAUACAAAGAUAAUGGUACCUUGCACAACACCUAGUUCGCCGUGGUUUGGCCGGAAACGGCCUCGAAAGCCUCGGAGGUCGCCGGAAACUGGGUAUUUUUCAAAUGAGUAUAACUUCUUCAAUACUCAACUAAAUUGCGUGAAACAAAAAGGAAAGUUGUAGUACUUGACGAGACGAAGAGAUUGAUACCUACCUCGACUCCUAACUCGCCGGGGAUUCGCCGGAAAGAGCCUCGAAAGCUCCGGCCAAACUUUGAACUUGUCGAUCUCCGUGUUCUUACGUCCAAAAACUUCCAACGAAGCACUCCGAGCUUCCUUGGGACUUCCUUAAGCUCACUGUGAGCUUAGUUUGGCCUAAAACACAACCAAUUCAAAGCUCAUGAACAGUACACUUUCAUGGGGAGUUUAGAAUCUAGGUUUUCCGAAGUAAAACUUACCUGAAAUGGAUACCAACGUGAUCCUGAAGUCCUCAGGAUUCCAAUGGUGGUCUCAAACUUGACGUUGGUAUAGAUUUAGGGUGGUUUUAGUGGUGGUCCGUGUGAGUUCGAAGGAGAGAGACAGAGAGAGUGAGAAAUCGUGAAGGAGGAGAGAGAAAGACAGUGAACGGGAAAUGAGGAGGGUUUUGAGGGAUGUGGGGAUCCCACGUGGUCCUUAUUCCAAUCUC
rnacentral:lncRNA from 1 species